UACGUAGGUGGCAAGCGUUGUCCGGAUUUACUGGGCGUAAAGGGCGUGCAGGCGGUUUGUUAAGUGCAGGGUGAAAGCUCCCGGCUCAACUGGGAGAGGUCCUUGCAUACUGGCGAACUCGAGGGAGGCAGAGGAAAGUGGAAUUCCCGGUGUAGUGGUGAUAUGCGUAGAUAUCGGGAGGAACACCUGUGGCGAAGGCGGCUUUCUGGGCCGAUACUGACACUGAGGAGCGAAAGCGUGGGGAGCGAACAGG
rnacentral:rRNA from 1 species